rnacentral:rRNA from 1 species
GUAACAGCUCACUGGUCGAGCGACAGGGCAUCGAUAAUAAUCGGGCAUCAAGCAUAUUACCGAAGCUGCGGAUUGUAGUUUACUACAGUGGUAGGGGAGCAUUCCCUUCUGCGGUGAAGGCGCCUGGUCAUGGGCGCUGGAGCGUAGGGAAAAGCAAAUGUAGGCAUAAGUAACGAUAAUGCGGGCGAGAAACCCGCACACCGAAAGACUAAGGUUUCCUGAUCAACGCUAAUCGGAUCAGGGUUAGUCGGGUCCUAAGGCGGAGGCGAAGGCACAAGUCGAUGGACAACUGGUUAAUAUUCCAGUACUAGCGUAACCCAGUGAUGCGGUGACGGAGAAGUGAAAGGCCCGCCUGGUGACGGAAUACCAGGUUGAA